rnacentral:misc_RNA from 1 species
CGCACAUUGCGCCCUCUGGUAUUCCGGGGGGCAUGCUUGUUCGAGCGUCAUUACACCAUUCAAGCUCAGCUUGGUAUUGGGAACUGCCCUUGUUUAUCAGAGGGCAUUCCUGAAAAGGAGCGGCAGAGCAACUAGAACUCUCAGCGCAGUAAAUUUUCAUCUCGUUGUGGAGGUCUAGCUUUUCUAGCCAAAACACAGCUGUCUCGGCAGCUGCUUUCUCAGAAUUGACCUCGGAUCAAGUAGGGAUACCCGCUGAACUUAA